UACGUAGGUCCCGAGCGUUGUCCGGAUUUAUUGGGCGUAAAGCGAGCGCAGGUGGUUUAUUAAGUCUGGUGUAAAAGGCAGUGGCUCAACCAUUGUAUGCAUUGGAAACUGGUAGACUUGAGUGCAGGAGAGGAGAGUGGAAUUCCAUGUGUAGCGGUGAAAUGCGUAGAUAUAUGGAGGAACACCGGUGGCGAAGGCGACGAUCUGGCCUGCAACUGACGCUCAGUCCCGAAAGCGUGGGGAGCAAACAGG
rnacentral:rRNA from 1 species